GAACUCAGUCUCACAAAUCGUAUAGGACUUUUUCUUUUCUACCAAGAUCGAUAGAUCUCAUUUAGGUGCAUCCUACUCCAAACAGCGAAUCUGAACCUACUGAAGCCAAUAUAUACAGCAAGAACCCAAAUGGCUAGGGAUCAAGAGAAUAUGCAGUCAAAUACAGUAGCCUCGCUGUAAAUAGCCAAUGACACCAUAGAUUAAAGGACCACUCACACCACU
rnacentral:lncRNA from 1 species